rnacentral:tRNA from 1 species
ACGCCGAUGGUGAAGUGGUUAUCAUGCUUGCCUUCCAUCUCCUGGGUAGCAAGCGGCACGGGUUCGAUUCCCGUUCGGCGUA